AGUUAAAUAGGUUCUUGUAGGCGUGGAACUCUUUAGGUUCUUGUCUAUGCUAGUGUGCAAUCAAACAAGACAGAUCCCUAAUUUUAUAGGUUCUUGUAAAUGCUAGCUUGAGUUGACUUCAGCACUUGACCGCAUGGUGCAGUACUAGUCUAAGAACAACCAGAGUCAUAGGCGUGAGAACUCUUAUUUCCUCUCUGGUUUAGUCUGCAGCAAUGCUGCUGGUUGUGGAUUAGAAAAACAGUUUGCCGCAUAAUCGUUACAUUAAAUGGAACUUUGCGUCUUAGGUUAUGAAAUACCGACCUGUCAAAAAUUCAGGAUGUUUCUUACAUCCUCUGCGAUUUCCUACGGUGAAUAUAGGAAUCAUCACAGACGACACGCCAGUAAUUACGUCACCAGCAAUGUACGAAAUAGAUGUGAUAUUUGUGAUGCCGAUCUAUCGUUGUUCUGUGUUUGACUCCUGAAGGUAUGCAAAUGCGAGGUCUGUUGUUACCCCUGAUAUCAGUAAAAGGAAAGUUACGCCUGUACAUAGGUCACUCUCUCCGCUACGGCAAAAAUCAGGAUAUAAAAGGGUCUGUAUCAUUGGACUUCGCGGCUUUAUUUUUUCAUUACGUAAUUUCUUGUGCGUUACUAUUUCCAUUGAGUUAUCAAUUAAUUCUUAGCGUUACCAUUGUGUUAUAUUAGUACAUUUCAUAGCAUAUAAGAUUUCUGACAGUUGUAUCAAUCCGGUAUUCGGGAAUUUGAAUCGUAGGAAGGAUCACCGCUCGCAACUCGUGGACGAUCUAGCAAUGAGAACAUCUGCACGCUGUUCAAAGCACGCCAUUCGUUAGCCAUAGAUCUUGUUAGUUCCCUUUUCUGUGAAGUUAGAGGUUAGGAAGUAUGUUAUUUUUGCAUAUAUCAAUUAUUUUUAAAUAGAACUAGGAAUAGAAUCGAAAUUAUUACUUUAUAACAAUAUUAUAAGACACGCAGCGUUAUUGAAUUGUGUUAUAUCAAUAUUAGUAAUAGAAUUAUAUGAUUUAUAUAAUUUAUCUAUCUUGUACAUUACUAAAGAUUUCAAUAAACGUUUAUUUAAAGGUAA